GACGAACGCUGGCGGCGUGCUUAACACAUGCAAGUCGAACGGAAAGGCCCUGCUUUUGUGGGGUGCUCGAGUGGCGAACGGGUGAGUAACACGUGAGUAACCUGCCCUUGACUUUGGGAUAACUUCAGGAAACUGGGGCUAAUACCGGAUAGGAGCUCCUGCUGCAUGGUGGGGGUUGGAAAGUUUCGGCGGUUGGGGAUAGACUCGCGGCUUAUCAGCUUGUUGGUGGGGUAGUGGCUUACCAAGGCUUUGACGGGUAGCCGGCCUGAGAGGGUGACCGGCCACAUUGGGACUGAGAUACGGCCCAGACUCCUACGGGAGGCAGCAGCGGGGAAUAUUGCACAAUGGGCGGAAGCCUGAUGCAGCAACGCCGCGUGCGGGAUGACGGCCUUCGGGUUGUAAACCGCUUUCGCCUGUGACGAAGCGUGAGUGACGGUAAUGGGUAAAGAAGCACCGGCUAACUACGUG
rnacentral:rRNA from 1 species